UACGUAGGAUUCGAGCGUUAUCCGGAUUUAUUGGGCUUAAAGGGUGCGUAGGUGGUUUAAUAAGUCAGUGGUGAAAGCCCGCAGCUUAACUGCGGAACUGCCAUUGAUACUGUUAGUCUUGAGUACAGUUGAGGUGGGCGGAAUGUGUCAUGUAGCGGUGAAAUGCUUAGAUAUGACACAGAACACCGAUUGCGAAGGCAGCUCACUAAGCUGUAACUGACACUGAGGCACGAAAGUGUGGGUAGCAAACAGG
rnacentral:rRNA from 1 species